GACGUAGGGCGCGAGCGUUUGUCCGGAAUUAUUGGGCGUAAAGAGCUCGUAGGCGGCCUGUUGCGUCCGCUGUGAAAGCCCGGGGCUUAACCCCGGGUCGCAGUGGAUACGGGCAGGCUAGAGGUAGGUAGGGGAGAAUGGAAUUCCCGGUGUAGCGGUGAAAUGCGCAGAUAUCGGGAGGAACACCGGUGGCGAAGGCGGUUCUCUGGGCCUUACCUGACGCUGAGGAGCGAAAGCGUGGGGGAGCGAACAGG
rnacentral:rRNA from 1 species